rnacentral:rRNA from 1 species
AACCUCCGCAAUGUGAGAAAUCGCGACGGGGGGAUCCCAAGUGCCAUUCUUAACGGGAUGGCUUUUCAUUAGUGUAAAGAGCUUUUGGAAUAAGGGCUGGGCAAGACCGGUGCCAGCCGCCGCGGUAACACCGGCAGCUCUAGUGGUAGCAGUUUUUAUUGGGCCUAAAGCGUCCGUAGCCGGUUUAAUAAGUCUCUGGUGAAAUCCUGUAGCUUAACUGUGGGAAUUGCUGGAGAUACUAUUAGACUUGAGAUCGGGAGAGGUUAGAGGUACUCCCAGGGUAGAGGUGAAAUUCUGUAAUCCUGGGAGGACCGCCUGUUGCGAAGGCGUCUAACUGGAACGAUUCUGACGGUGAGGGACGAAAGUUAGGGGCGCGAACCGGAUUAGAUACCCGGGUAGUCCUAACUGUAAACGAUGCGGACUUGGUGUUGGGGUGGCUUUGAGCUGCUUCAGUGCCGAAGGGAAGCUGUUAAGUCCGCCGCCUGGGAAGUACGGUCGCAAGACUGAAACUUAAAGGAAUU